rnacentral:rRNA from 3 species
UUUAAUUGAAGAGUUUGAUCAUGGCUCAGAUUGAACGCUGGCGGCAGGCCUAACACAUGCAAGUCGAGCGGCAGCACAGAGAAACUUG